GACGAACGCUGGCGGCGUGCUUAACACAUGCAAGUCGAACGGAAGGGCCCUGCUUUUGUGGGGUGCUCGAGUGGCGAACGGGUGAGUAACACGUGAGUAACCUGCCCUUGACUUUGGGAUAACUUCAGGAAACUGGGGCUAAUACCGGAUAGGAGCUCCUGCUGCAUGGUGGGGGUUGGAAAGUUUCGGCGGUUGGGGAUGGACUCGCGGCUUAUCAGCUUGUUGGUGGGGUAGUGGCUUACCAAGGCUUUGACGGGUAGCCGGCCUGAGAGGUGACCGGCCACAUUGGGACUGAGAUACGGCCCAGACUCCUACGGGAGGCAGCAGUGGGGAAUAUUGCACAAUGGGCGGAAGCCUGAUGCAGCAACGCCGCGUGCGGGAUGACGGCCUUCGGGUUGUAAACCGCUUUCGCCUGUGACGAAGCGUGAGUGACGGUAAUGGGUAAAGAAGCACCGGCUAACUACGUG
rnacentral:rRNA from 1 species